AUGGUCUACAGAAGCGGACCAAGAUGGACCACUCUGCAGAGACUGGAAAAGCACCUCCCAAGUACUUUUGAACCUGAGGACAGCGACAAAAUGAGUUUCCACAGAUCUAAACGGACGCUCCGCAAUGGAUUUAGUCACCAUUCCAGCUUAUCUCUGGCCACCCUGGAGUGCCACGCACAGCUAGUUACAACUGGUGAAAGCUGUCAGACUAGGUCCAGCACCUUAAGGUGGGGCAAGUGUCAGAGGCUGCAACACAACAGCGCCUCUGUGAAGGACUGCUUGAGAGAAUGCGGCUUUGUGACCAACCUCCGCCAGACCCAGACACCCCUCCCUUCAAGGAAAUGUGCUCUGGAGUUGCCGACACAGUUCAUAGGUCAAAGAAACUGUGGAGUGCCUGUUUGCAUGGAGGACCAACAAUCCAGCUCUGUUACUAAGCCACAGCCUUCAGGGCAGGCUGAGGCAAACCAGCACACCUUUGACAGACAACCCAGACUGAAAUCCAACUGCAGUAGCAAUCAAGAACACUCCAGCGUGGACAGAAUUGAGCAGAAUUCCCUUAAGUCAAUGGGACACAUGGUGGAAGAUGGGGAUGGGCCCAGGCCCACGCAUGAAGUUAUUUUCUCUACAGAAGUUCCACAGAACACCACCAGAGAACAAGGCCUGAGCGAAGAGGAAAGUUACGCUUUUAGUUCCAAGAAUUCACAGACGAUUCUUCGGGACCAGAUUUGCAGAGUGGUUGUGAAUCUUGAGGAAGUUCUCCGGGGCUUGAAAGAAGUGCAUCUGGAGAUGAAAGAGGUAGUCCAACAGAUUGACCAGCUGACCUCCAACAUUGACCUAGGAGAGGAGGAUGCCAAAGAGUCUUGUGGCGGUUCCAGCUCCAGCAGGAGAGUGCUUACAGCAGAGGAGGCACUCAAGCAAACAGAUCCCAAGAUUCACCCAGGCAGAGACACCUCUGAGCCAUCUAACAGCCCCUCCCAUAUCCCUUCAACAGUGCCAAGGGCCAAGAAAAGGUUUCAGGCAUCUACCAAAGGCCAGCCUGGGGAGAAAAGCACUCCUUGUUUGCCUCCACCAGCGUACCCAACUGGACACUCUGGCACAAACAGUUUAGUGCGGAAAUCAAAUCAUGGAGUGACAGAAAGUAAGGGAUCCAAGCCAGAGGCUGCUAGAGGCGACAAGAGCCAGAAGCCACCUCCUUAUCCUUUUGGCAGCAAAGCUGAAAGGGCAAAUAAAGGGAAAGAUCCAGACCUGAAAUCUCCCCCUUACUCGAACAGGCGGAAACUGCUCUCCACCACUGUCUAA
rnacentral:lncRNA from 1 species